GAAACUACAAAAACAAUUAAUUUAGUAAAUGGAAAGAGAAAAAACAAAAUCUAAAACUUAAUCACUAUCACAUGAUUCAGAUUCACCGUGUGGACCCCAAAUAAACAAGAAUCAACAAGUGGUAAAAGUGUAAAUCUGGUGUGGGAACAAUGGUAAUAAAAAGUUUUCUUCUGUGAAUGAUUUGUACUUUGUCGGGAAAGAAUCUCUAAAGGGACAAAGAAAGUGGGUUCCAUCGUUAAACAACAAAAAUUCCAAACGUUACAUCCACGAAGUUUUAAGCCCUCUAUAAUUGGUCAAUAUAUUUUCUUGUUAAUUUCCUAUUGAAUUUAAAAAAUACAUUAUAAGUAUCUACCAAAACUAGGAUAAAAUAAAACAUCAUGAGAAAAAAUCGUCUAAUCAUUAUAUAUUGUUAUAUCAUAGUCAUAACUCAUAACACAUUUGAAUGCUCUAUACUGGUCGGAUGAUGAGAAAUAGUCUCAUGAAAAAGUCUAUAGAAAGAAAAAUGAUGACCGGAACUUUAAAUGUUCAAUAGGAAUAUAGUUAUGUGAAUCAGAUUUCAGUAUUGACUAAAUAUCACUAUACAUUUAUUAAUAGUUGUAACCGUUUUUGGUAAGUGAAAUCUUGAAAGAAUUAUAACUUGUAUAUAUAUACAAACAAAAUCUUUAAGUUUUUUU